rnacentral:hammerhead_ribozyme from 1 species
GCAGUGCUGAAGAGUCCCAAACUAGGACGAAACAGUUGUCCAGUAC